UGGACCAGUGGUGAUGGCCGGUGCAUGUGAGUCAUACACAGUGAGUAGUGCAUGUCUGAAACUCAGAAGUCCAA
ensembl:snoRNA